CUACGCCCUUCUUCGGUGCCGGAGUGGGAAAAUUCAAAGUUGAGGUAGUCAAGUCAGUUCGCUCCAAUAAAAUUCGUGGUGGUGCUCUUGGUGCCCGUAUGAAUCUUUUUGAUUGGUUUGCUAGAGUUGUCAAGGUAUUGGCGUCUCAAAAGCAGUUGGAGAAUAAGUACAAAGCUGCCCAACAAGCUUCUGAGGAAUAGUACUGCAACGAAUAACUCUUCCUUCCAAAAUAGUUGCUGAGAGUUUCUGAACUUACAUUGUAUUGUGCUCUCACUUAGGUACCGCAAGGCACAAUUUGCCUUGGAGAAAGGAGAUGAGAAUCUUACACGUGAAGCUCUAAAGAUGAGAAAAUCUUUUGUAGAUAAUGCUAAUUCUUUGAAAGCUCAACUUGAUCAACAGAAAGCAAUAUUUCAGUUUAGUGAGAUGAUGAUCCCUUUAGUGAAGAUAGAAGAAUUUAAGGUGUGUUUCAGUAGAUUUUUUUUUGUCUCUGUUUCUUUUUAAAUUUUGUUGAAUUUGCCUUUUUGUUUAAAAUCUGUUUCUUUGAGAACUCCAGCAAACAGAUUGUUUAAUAUCUCUCAGAGAGAUAGCUAUCCUUCUAGGGGUGAUUUAACUGAAGAAGUAUGUCAUCGAGAAGAUGGUUAUAACCUAAAUGACAGGUUGUAUGAGAAACCACUUCUCAGUUUCUUUGAUGUACUAGAUGAUUGAAAACUGACAGGUAAAGGCAAGGCUAUAGCUGAUGGACCGUGAGCGAGCUUAUGAGAUUGUACAUGUCGGGGCGGUUAGGCCUGGAGCGUACGAUCCUCGGGACAACAAGGCUGAUUUUGUAACUGGUCGUUAGACGACCUUUAUUUUAUGUAACAGAUAAACAGUUAAAACUUUUUGUAAAUAAUUUUAUAAUCGGGAUCCCGAGUCUUUUGUAAUAUUGUUUUAUAAGUUUAAUUAAAAAGCAAAAUUUUAAUUAAUCACGUUUUUCCAUAAACCUCGUUGAUUAGCAACGAGCUGCACAGUACGUUUAAAAAUCACGUAAUACGCCUAAGGUAGUUAGGGUGUUACAAUUUGGUAUCAGAGCCGCCAGGUUGUCUUCCGAAGAUCGUCACGACAUGUACAAUCAUCAUCAGCAGUUAGCUCGUUUCACGGUUCAGUAAGCCUUUAUUGCUUUAGUAGUUUAUUUUAUUCAGUUAUGAAAAAGAAAAGCCUGUUAGGAAGCAUGUUAGUAGCCUGAUAGUAGAAUAGGCGCAUGUUUCGUUUUUAAUUUCCAAAUUAAGCGGCAUUAGUAAGCUCUCGAUGAUCGUGACCUGAAGUGCCAACUCGGGAUUUCGAGGCGGUUCAUACUAGAUGGACGCCAAACGAAAUAUUAGGAGUCAGGGCAUCUCAGUCGGGUCAGAUCAAGGUCGAGGAGCUCAGUUCCCCUCAAGUGUUUUGGGCCGAGGUAGAGGUCCCAGGGGCAGGGUUCGCGGUUGGAGUGAUGUUAACUCGCCGCAGGCUGCCCAAGUCAAUCAGGAAGCCCAGAACUGGGAGUUGCGGUUUGCGGAGAUGCAAGCCCGGAUUGAGGAGCAAGACCUCGAGAUUCAGAGGGUGAGACAGCAGGGUGCUCCCGCAGUUUCAGUGCCCGUAGUUCCAGUGGCACCUGCCCCUGCUGCCCAGGCCGAGAUAGUUGUGGCGGCCAAUAGAUAGGAACCUUUG